rnacentral:tRNA from 1 species
GCGAGAGUGGUGAAAUUGGCAGACACGCCAGCCUUAGGAGCUGGUGCUCACGCGUAAGGGUUCGAGUCCCUUCUCUCGCA